rnacentral:rRNA from 1 species
UUCUGGUUGAUCCUGCCGGAGGCUACCGCUAUUGGAGUUCGAUUAAGCCAUGCGAGUCGCGAGACUUAGAAUCUCGGCGUACCGCUCAGUAACACGUGGGUAACCUGCCCUAUGCUAGGGGAUAACCUCGGGAAACUGAGAAUAAUACCCUAUAGUUCACCACGCCUGGAACGGUGGGUGGAUGAAAGCUCCGGCGGCAUAGGAUGGGCCUGCGGCGUAUCAGGUUGUAGGGGGUGUAAUGUACCCUCUAGCCAUCUACGCGUACGGGUGUUGGGAGACAUCGCCCGGAGAUGGAUUCUGAGACACGAAUCCAGACCCUACGGGGUGCAGCAGGCGCGAAAACUUGGCAAUGCGAGAAAUCGUGACCAGGGAACUCCAAGUGCAUCGGGUAAGACCGAUGCUUUUCUUGACUCUUCAAAGGUCUUGGAAUAAGGGGUGGGUAAGGACGGUGCCAGCCGCCGCGGUAAUACCGGCGCCUCAAGUGGUAGUCGCUUUUAUUGGGCCUAAAACGUCCGUAGCCGGUUUGGUACAUUCGUGGGUAAAUCAAGGCGCUCAACGUCUUGAAUUCUGCGAGCACGGCCAGACUUGGGACCGGGUGAGGUGUGGGGUACUCUCAGGGUAGGGGUAAAAUCCUGUCAUCCUGAGAGGACCACCUGUUGCGAAG